rnacentral:lncRNA from 11 species
CAUGACCUGUAGUGUUUUUCCCCACCCCACCCAGGAUUCAUCUGUGCCAGGGGCGGUUCAACCACCAGGCCAACUAGGCAGUUGCCUGUGGCACCAUCUUGUUGGGGGCGCUAUCGAGGCAGCUCCUGCCUCCUGCGGCCUGCCUUCACAAGCUCCAAGCAGGCCACAAAAGAAAGGGAGCCACACGACUUACCAUGCAGAGAGCGUGCAGAUUGGAGGGGGCAGAUUCAAGAAGGGGUCACCUGCUUCCAGGAGGCAUGGGAGUGGAUGUUGGAGCAGCCCCCCCCCCUCAUUAUGGUGUUGGCAUCUUUCUCCCAGAAAGCUGUAGUCUCUGGCAUGAGCCUGCAGAGCAGCAGUAACCAACAGCCAAUGAGUUUGAACUUCUUUCCUAGAAUCACCACACUCAUCCAGCUUUAUCUUAAUUAUUCAUGUUUUGUAACUUUGAAGUCAUUAUAUUUGCUUUGCUAUUGUCACAACUUGUGGGAGGCAGUUGGUAUUGGUCCUGGAUUCAGGACAGUGUUGAGCAAUGCCCGCUUUAGCAUUGGUAACAUGUGUGGGUUCACUUAUAUGUGAUGGAGGGGGAUCUUGCCCAGCCCAGGGAACAGACACCUUUACAGCAGUCCCCGGUAGGCAUGGGGCAGCUGCCCACAUGGUUUCUUUUCUUGCCAUCCUAAGGGUUCUGGCUGUGGGCUGGAGUAUCAGGUUCAUUGUUCAACAGGCAGGUUAGUUGGUACCUGGAUGCAAUACUCAUAUUAUUGAGUUAAGCUUAUUGACAGCUGCAACCAAUAAGAUUGUGGCCUUUACACAAUCAAAAGUUAUGUGUGCUAAUGAUGGUUUCAGUGAUGUUCUAAUCAUACCUGUGGAGAAGAGUGACCCACUGUUUUAAACAAUAUUCUUUCUAAGUAAGUCACUUCAUCGUUUGUCAAAACAAGCUAACAACCAACCAACCAGUUGGGCAAUAAUGGUGACAGUAGCUCACUUUUGAGACCCACUGACUUUAAUGUAAUCCACGUAGACAUACAUUUAAUUUCAGUUAAUGGGAUUGGAUGGUUCUUAUUUUUGUCACAUACUCUGUACUGGACACACAUAACUGAAUUAUCUAUAUCUCUAAAUAUCUGGUGUUUGAACUGGAAUGAAUAAAUACUGAAUUCAGGCUGAAAUUGUUUCUUGAAAGUGUCUACGUAUUAGUAGCUUUUAAUGAAUAAACAGUUUGGGGGAAUGCAAUCUCUUUAUUAGCAAUUAAUAUUCUUCCUUUGCUUGAAUAUUUGCUUGCUUGAUUCAGCAUGAACUUUUGCAGGGAAAUGAGGGAAAUGCUGUGUAUUAAAUGGAGAGAACAGACUAAAUCAACUAAAUCAACCAAUAAUGGAAGAGGCCAUAUGAAUCAAUAUCUCAACGACAUGCGCCUAACUCCAGGGAGUUCAGAUCACCAGGAGGCACAACUGAAGCAGAUGGUCUUGCUUUGAUUUGUCAGAUGUUCUCAAUUAAAGUGAAAAUAUACCUAAAAGAAAGCAGGUUGCAAAGGUUUUAAAAUUAUGCUUAUUGGAGAAAAUCAGUAACAGAUAAAUAGUUCAAUUGACCUUAGUACCUCAGUAACUUACCACUUUUGUUUUAAAAUUACCUCAAGAACAUUCACUAUUGGUCAGUUUCUAAGAAUCUGUUAGAAACAUGCUCUAGGG